rnacentral:snoRNA from 1 species
UACGAGAAUGAAGAGAUUAGUGACAGUAUCUCUGCCAUUUUUUGAACAUUGAGGUAUAAAAAUGGGCGAGUCAUCGUUUCGGUCGCCCUUUCUGUGAUUGGCGAAUCGAUUGUUCCUCGUCUACAU